rnacentral:rRNA from 1 species
UGCGCCUAGUAACGGCGAGUGAGGCGGCAAAAGCUCAGAUUUGAAAUCUGUCACCAUUUUGGUGUCCGAGUUGUAGUCUGUAGAGGUGUAUUCGAGUGUGGCUUUGGCUUAAGUUCCUUGGAACAGGGCGUCAUAGAGGGUGAGAACCCCGUUAACGGCCUUUGUCUUAUGCUCAUGUGAAUCUCCUUCAACGAGUCGAGUUGUUUGGGAAUGCAGCUCUAAAUGGGUGGUAAAUUCCAUCUAAAGCUAAAUAUUGGCAAGAGACCGAUAGCGCACAAGUAGAGUGAUCGAAAGAUGAAAAGAACUCUGAACAGAGAGUUAAAUAGUACGUGAAAUUGUUGAAAGGGAAGCACUUCCGACCAGACGCACUUGCAGCCGAUCAAUCUUCAUUCUUGAGGGUGCACUCGGUUGUCUGUGGGUCAGCAUCAGUUAUGGCGGUGGGAAAAAGACUAAGGGAAUGUGGCUCCUUUCGGGGAGUGUUAUAGCCUUUGGUGCAAUGCUGCCUGCUGUGACUGAGGACCGCGCUUCGGUGAGGAUGCUGGCAUAAUGGUCGUAAGUGACCCGUCUUGAAACACGGACCAAGGAGUCUAACAUCUAUGCGAGUGUUUGGGUGUUUAAACCCUUACGCGAAAUGAAAGUAAAUGGAGGUGGGAACCGUAAGGUGCACCAUCGACCGAUCCUGAUGUUCUCGGAUGGAUUUGAGUAGGAGCAUAGCUGUUGGGACCCGAAAGAUGGUGAACUAUGCCUGAAUAGGGUGAAGCCAGAGGAAACUCUGGUGGAGGCUCGCAGCGGUUCUGACGUGCAAAUCGAUCGUCAAAUUUGGGUAUAGGGGCGAAAGACUAAUCGAACCAUCUAGUAGCUGGU